rnacentral:miRNA from 1 species
UUAAGCCGUGCCAAUAUCACG